CCUAUUGAGUUUAAGCAUAUAAUUAAGUAGAGGAAAAUAAACUUACAAGGAUUCCCCUAGUAAUGGUGACUGAAUUAGGAAGAGCCUAAUGUGAAAAUUGGAUGGCAGCAUUGCCUGAAUUGUAGUCUGUAGAAGUGUUCUUCACAGUGGACCAAUCCCAAGUCCCUUGGAAGGAGAUGCCGAAAGGGUGAACAGCCUUGUAGGGAUUGGACCUUGUCACACUACAAGGCGCCACCAGCGAGUCGGGUUGUUUAGGAAUGCAGCCCUAAUUGGGUGGUAAGUUUCGUCCAAGGCUAAAUAUGGGCGAGAGAUCAAUAGCGAACAAUGUUGUGAGU
rfam:Picea glauca, whole genome shotgun sequence.